GCUGCUCCUAGUACGAGAGGACCGGAGUGGACGCAUCACUGGUGUUCGGGUUGUCAUGCCAAUGGCACUGCCCGGUAGCUAAAUGCGGAAGAGAUAAGUGCUGAAAGCAUCUAAGCACGAAACUUGCCCCGAGAUGAGUUCUCCCUGAGACUUUAAGUCUCCUGAAGGAACGUUGAAGACGACGACGUUGAUAGGCCGGGUGUGUAAGCGCAGCGAUGCGUUGAGCUAACCGGUACUAAUGAACCGUGAGGCUUAACCUUACAACGCCGAAG
rnacentral:rRNA from 2 species